rnacentral:misc_RNA from 1 species
UCGCGGCUUAUCACCGGCAGUCCCCUUAGAGUCCCCAACUUAAUGAUGGCAACACACCACGGGGGUUGCGCUCGUUGCGGGACUUAACCCAACAUCUCACGACACGAGCUGACGACAGCCAUGCAGCAUCUGUGGUGCACCCUCGAAGGUCACACAUUUCUGUGCGCUUGCAGCACCAUGUCAAGUCCAGGUAAGGUUCUUCGCGUUGCAUCGAAUUAAAGAACAUGCUCCGCUGCUUGUGCGGGCCCCCGUCAAUUCUUUUGAGUUUUAGCCUUGCGGCCGUACUCCCCAGGCGGCGGACUUACCGCGUGAGCUGCGGCACCGGGGGGGUCGAUACCCCCGACACCUAGUCCGCAUCGUUUACGGCGUGGACUAC